rnacentral:rRNA from 1 species
UACGGAGGAUGCGAGCGUUAUCCGGAUUUACUGGGCGUAAAGGGAGCGUAGGCGGACUUUUAAGUGAGAUGUGAAAUACCCGGGCUUAACUUGGGUGCUGCAUUUCAAACUGGAAGUCUAGAGUGCAGGAGAGGAGAAGGGAAUUCCUAGUGUAGCGGUGAAAUGCAUAGAUAUUACACAGAACACCGAUUGCGAAGGCAGCUUACUAAUCCAUCAUUGACGCUGAGGCACGAAAGCGUGGGGAUCAAACAGGAUUAGA